AAGGCGUAGGCGAUGGAUAACAGGUUGAUAUUCCUGUACCCGUUGUUUUUGUUUGAGCAAUGGAGGGACGCAGGAGGCUAAGGAAUCAGACGAUUGGAAAUGUCUGUCCAAGCAAUAAGUCUUGAUGUGAGUCAAAUGCUUACGUCUUUAAGGACAAGUUGUGAUGGGGAGGGAAAUAAUAGUACCGAAGUUCCUGAUGUCACACUGCCGAGAAAAGCUUCUAGUGAGAAAACAAUGGCCCGUACCGCAAACCGACACAGGUAGUCGAGGAGAGAAUCCUAAGGUGAGCGAGAGAACUCUCGUUAAGGAACUCGGCAAAAUGACCCCGUAACUUCGGGAGAAGGGGUGCUGAUCUAACGAUCAGCCGCAGUGAAUAGGCCCAAGCGACUGUUUAUCAAAAACACAGGUCUCUGCAAAAUCGAAAGAUGACGUAUAGGGGCUGACGCCUGCCCGGUGCUGGAAGGUUAAGAGGAGUGCUUAGCGUAAGCGAAGGUACGAAUUGAAGCCCCAGUAAACGGCGGCCGUAACUAUAACGGUCCUAAGGUAGCGAAAUUCCUUGUCGGGUAAGUUCCGACCCGCACGAAAGGCGUAACGAUUUGGGCACUGUCUCAACGAGAGGCUCGGUGAAAUUUUAGUACCUGUGAAGAUGCAGGUUACCCGCGACAGGACGGAAAGACCCCAUGGAGCUUUACUGCAGUUUGAUAUUGAGUGUUUGUACCACAUGUACAGGAUAGGUAGGAGCCGUAGAAGUCGGGACGCUAGUUUCGACAGAGGCGCUGGUGGGAUACUACCCUUGUGUUAUGACCACUCUAACCCGCACCACUGAUCGUGGUGGGAGACAGUGUCAGAUGGGCAGUUUGACUGGGGCGGUCGCCUCCUAAAGAGUAACGGAGGCGCCCAAAGGUUCCCUCAGAAUGGUUGGAAAUCAUUCGCAGAGUGUAAAGGCACAAGGGAGCUUGACUGCGAGACCUACAAGUCGAGCAGGGACGAAAGUCGGGCUUAGUGAUCCGGUGGUUCCGCAUGGAAGGGCCAUCGCUCAACGGAUAAAAGCUACCCUGGGGAUAACAGGCUUAUCUCCCCCAAGAGUCCACAUCGACGGGGAGGUUUGGCACCUCGAUGUCGGCUCGUCGCAUCCUGGGGCUGUAGUCGGUCCCAAGGGUUGGGCUGUUCGCCCAUUAAAGCGGCACGCGAGCUGGGUUCAGAACGUCGUGAGACAGUUCGGUCCCUAUCCGUCGCGGGCGUUGGAAAUUUGAGAGGAUCUGUCCUUAGUACGAGAGGACCGGGAUGGACUUACCGCUGGUGUACCAGUUGUCUCGCCAGAGGCAUCGCUGGGUAGCUAUGUAGGGAAGGGAUAAACGCUGAAAGCAUCUAAGUGUGAAGCCCACCUCAAGAUGAGAUUUCCCAUUUCUUUAAGAAAGUAAGAUCCCUGAGAGAUGAUCAGGUAGAUAGGUCAGAAGUGGAAGUGCAGUGAUGUACGGAGCGGACUGAUACUAAUCGAUCGAGGACUUAACCAA
rnacentral:rRNA from 1 species